AUUUUGAGAACUUGCAAAAACAGCUUACAAGGAAAAUGAAGCUUCCUAUUUUCAUAGCAGAUGCAUUCACAGCAAGAGCAUUUCGUGGGAAUCCUGCUGCUGUUUGCCUCCUAGAAAAUGAAUUGGAUGAAGACAUGCAUCAGAAAAUUGCAAGGGAGAUGAACCUCUCUGAAACUGCUUUUAUCCGAAAACUGCACCCGACAGACAACUUUGCACAAAAAAACAUGAAUAGCACGCUCACGUUUGUCACUCUGAGUGGAGAACUAAGGGCCAGACGAGCAGAGGAUGGCAUCGUCCUGGACUUGCCUCUUUAUCCAGCCCACCCCCAGGACUUCCAUGAAGUAGAGGACUUGAUAAAGACUGCCAUAGGCAACACACUGGUCCAGGACAUCUGUUAUUCUCCAGAUACCCGAAAGCUCCUCGUCCGCCUCAGUGACGUUUACAACAGGUAAGAUUUUUGGCUGCAUCAGCACUUUGGGGAGGGCUGAGUACCCAGAUUUAUAGCUCUUCCUUAGUCUGGCUGUGCUGUGUCCAGUCAAACCAUGAUUUACGCAAGCAGAGUGUUUCUUUCCCUGAUAGGAAGACAUUCCCACUUGUUCUUCCUUCCCCUCCUGUUAAGCUCUUUGAGCAAGCUGCACCCUGGCCUGCUUCACAGAGUCUGUGUGGUGAGUGGGCUGUGAAAUGGGUUUGUCCUAAUCCAUCUUGUUUAUGAACAAGGUCAUUUCUGGAGAACCUGAAAGUGAACACGGAGAAUCUGCUGCAAGUUGAAAACACAGGGAAGGUGAAAGGGCUUAUUCUUACCCUUAAAGGAGAGCCUGGUGGGCAGACCCAAGCAUUUGACUUUUACUCAAGAUAUUUUGCACCGUGGGUUGGUGUGGCUGAAGACCCAGUGACAGGUACUUUUUACUUGAGCCCAGGGGAGGGUUAAACAAUGGAAGAGGAGGAUCACAAAUAGUUAUUUAAGUGCACUUCCUGUGACCUUUCAGGUGGCUUGAGUUUUGAGCUGCCUUGUUCCUCUAUCUUUCCCCAUCCCUGCCAUCCCUUCACUGAAGUCUUACAUGAAAAACAUAAAAUAGAGCAGGUGGAUAACAGGGUUAAACCUGAGUGUCAGACAACCUGGGUUUACAUUCCUAGCUUCCUAGCUUUUGACCUUGGGCAAGUGACUUGACUUUUAAAAGUCUCAGUUCCCUCCUCUAUAAAUUGUAUAUAAUACCUCAUAGGGCUAUAAAAGCACAAUGCAUGUUAAGGGCUUAAUACAGUGCCUGGCACAUGGUAAGUGCCCAAUAACUACUAGCUAUUAUAUUGUAUUAUUAUAUCUUUUUGAGACAUAGUCUCACUUCAUCACCCAGGCUAGAAUGGAGUGGCAUGAUCCCGGCUCACUGCAACCUCAGCCUCCCAGGUUCAAGCGAUUCUCCUGCCUUGGCCUCCCCAGUAGCUGGAACUACAGGCGUCUGCCACUACACCCGGCUAAUUUUUGUAUUUUUACUAGAGAUAGGAUUUCAUCAUGUUGGCCAGGAUGGUCCCAAACUCCUGACCUCAAAUGAUCCCUCCUCGGCCUCCCAAAGUGCUGGGAUUACAGGCAUGAGCCACUGCGCCUAGCUAACUACUAGCUAUUUUAAUAAUAACAACAAAACUAGCUCCUUGAGCCAACACUUCUAGAUUGUCCACCACCUGGGAGCAGAGGGAUGAGUCAAAGAUGGGCAGAAAUGUCAUGACUCCUACUCUCCCUCUCUUUGGGAACAGUGGGCUGCACUGCAAAGGACGAGAAUGCUUGAUGUGGGAGGAUGGUGGGUGGGAUGGUGAAGGGGCCACAGGAGGCUGGGCAGAGCCUUCAGGGCUCCUGUUCUGGUCAGAUGGCAGGGCCUGGAUGGCUCAGUUACUCUCUGAGUAACAAAACACUUGAAAUUCAAAACUCAGCAAACAAGCACUUUUAAGACUCAGGAAAAUGCCCAACCAUAUCCAGAGUGCAGCUUCCCCAUGGAAAAAAAGUUCCAAGCAGAUUUGCACAAGCACAGCUGCUUCACAAAGAUUUUAAUUGGCACAGAGUGCAAGUUUGUUUGUUUGUUUGUUUUUCCCUAUAAUGCUUUUCUAGAGUAUAAAGGCCUUUGGACUUUGAUAACCAACAUCUGAGUUUGCUUGGGACUGAAGGGUUUCUCAGGGCUCAGAACUUUCAGUGCUAAAACCAGAACAGUCUCAGGCAAACCAGGCAGGAUGGUUGGUUGCCUUACUUGAACAUCCCAUAGCACUUUUUUUUUUUUUUGCCCAGGCUGGAGUGCAAUGGCACGUUCUCAGCUCCCUGCAACCUCUAUCUCCCGAGUUCAAGAGAUUCUCCUGCCUCAGC
rnacentral:sRNA from 1 species